GUAGGCGAUUGGUUGGCGCCGCAAAGCCAUCCCGGCGGCUAAGGAGAGCGGGCAGGCAAGGAGAUUCCGGGCCAGGGUCGCGGCGGCAGUCGGCAAGCGUUCGAUUCUCUGGCGUUGGAUCGCGAGCGGUGUCUGCUUGUCCCGCCGAGGGCUCCCAGGACAGGGCAGGGAUCUAGGGGGUUUGCGCACCUGCUUUUUAAUGCCCCGCCCCCCUUUUUUUUAAAGUGGAGGGGGUGAAAGUGAGGGAGGAGAAUGGACAGAAUACUGACUGGAACGUUAAUUCGAGCAUUUCAUAUGCGAAGAGCGGAAUAACAGUUCCGUAUUCUUCUUUCAGUUUUUCCAUUAGAUUAGCUUCAUUUUCGAAUGCUCCGUUUUGCAUGCUUAAUUUUGAAACUAGCCCGUGGUUUGGCAGAAUUUGACUGAAUUCAGGGGUGAGAGUUUGAUCCAGUCCAAGUGUAUUUGAAUUUGAGCACGCAGUUCAACCAGUGUUUACAAUGGAAUUUCUGAAGACUUGUGUACUUAGAAGAAAUGCAUGCACUGCGGUUUGCUUCUGGAGAAGCAAAGUUGUCCAAAAGCCUUCAGUUAGAAGGAUUAGUACUACCUCUCCAAGGAGCACUGUCAUGCCUGCUUGGGUGAUAGAUAAAUAUGGGAAGAAUGAAGUGCUUCGAUUCACUCAGAACAUGAUGAUGCCUAUCAUACACUAUCCAAAUGAAGUCAUUGUCAAAGUUCACGCUGCCAGUGUAAAUCCUAUAGACGUUAAUAUGAGAAGUGGUUAUGGAGCUACAGCUUUAAAUAUGAAGCGUGAUCCUUUACACAUGAAAAUCAAAGGAGAAGAAUUUCCUCUGACUCUGGGUCGGGAUGUCUCUGGCGUGGUGAUGGAAUGUGGGCUUGAUGUGAAAUACUUCAAGCCUGGAGAUGAGGUCUGGGCUGCAGUUCCUCCUUGGAAACAAGGCACUCUUUCAGAGUUUGUUGUAGUCAGUGGGAAUGAGGUCUCUCACAAACCCAAAUCACUCACUCAUACUCAAGCUGCCUCUUUGCCAUAUGUGGCUCUCACAGCCUGGUCUGCUAUAAACAAAGUUGGUGGCCUGAAUGACAAGAAUUGCACAGGAAAACGUGUUCUAAUCUUAGGCGCUUCAGGUGGAGUUGGUACUUUUGCUGUACAGGUAAUGAAAGCAUGGGAUGCUCAUGUGACAGCAGUUUGCUCCCAAGAUGCCAGUGAACUUGUAAGGAAGCUUGGUGCAGACGAUGUAAUUGAUUACAAAUCUGGAAGUGUGGAAGAGCAGUUGAAAUGCUUAAAACCGUUUGAUUUUAUCCUUGAUAAUGUUGGUGGAUCCACUGAAACAUGGGCUCCAGAUUUUCUCAAGAAAUGGUCAGGAGCCACCUAUGUGACUUUGGUGACUCCUUUCCUCCUGAACAUGGACCGAUUGGGCAUAGCAGAUGGCAUGUUGCAGACAGGAGUCACUGUAGGUUCAAAGGCAUUAAAGCAUUUCUGGAAAGGAGUCCAUUAUCGCUGGGCAUUUUUCAUGGCCAGUGGCCCAUGUUUAGAUGACAUUGCAGAACUGGUGGAUGCGGGAAAGAUCCAGCCAGUUAUUGAACAAACCUUUCCUUUUUCUAAAGUUCCAGAAGCCUUCCUGAAGGUGGAAAGAGGACACGCACGAGGAAAGACUAGACAGGGUCUCGCGUGUCACCCAGGCUGGAGUGCAGUGGCACAAUCACAGCUCACUGCAGCCUUGACCUUAAGCGAUUCUCCUGCUUCAGCCUCUCAAGUAGGUAGGACUACAGGAUUAGGCCUGUUUCGGCAAUUGAAACAUGCUUCUCUGAGGGCUUUUCCAUGGAAAUUGCAGCCUUCCAAUGGAGCCCAAAGCUUGCCACUUUGAUGUCAAAUGUUUACAUUUAGAUAUCUCUCCAAUCAACCCAUUGCAGUGUGCACUUCGAAUAUUCAUUUACGGUAGGUCUCACCCAGGCUGAAGGGCAGUGGCACGAUCACAGCUCACUGCAGCCUCAACCUCCCAGACUCAAGUGAUCUCCCACCUCAGCCUCCUGAGUAGCUGGGACUACAGGCCUGCACCACCACACCCGACUAAUUUUUGUGUUUUCAAUAGAGACAGGGUUUCAACAUGUUGCCCAGGCUUGUCUGGAACUGCUGGGUUCCAGUGAUCUGCCCACUUUGACCUCCCAAAGUGCUAGGGUUACAGACGUGAGUCACUGCGCCCAGCUUCUGUGAUUUUUUUUAUUUUCUUUUUUAGAUGGAGUUUUACUCUUGUCACCCAGGCUGGAGUGCACUGGUGUGAUCUCAGCUCACUGCAACCUCCACCUCCCGGGUUCAAGUGAUUCUCCUGCCUCAGCCUCCCAAGUAGCUGGGAUUACAGGGGCCCCACCACCACACCUGGCUAAUUUUUGUAUUUUUUAGUAGAGACGGGGUUUCACCAUGUUGGCCAGGCUGGUCCUGAACUCCUGACCUCAGGUGAUCCACCCGCUUUGCCCUCCCAAAGUGCUGGGAUUACAGGCAGGAGCCACUGCACCCAGCCCGGCCUGAUUAUUUUUUAAAUAGAUGUAGUCCACCCCAACAUCUGUUGUACACAGGUAGACCAUACCUAUUGUUUUUGUGAAUAAAAGAAAAAUACUUUCUUAAAAA